rnacentral:rRNA from 1 species
CGAAAGCCUGACGGAGCAAUACCGCGUGAGGGGGGAAGGCCUUUGGGUUGUAAACCUCUUUUCUCAGGGAAGAAGAUCUGACGGUACCUGAGGAAUAAGCAUCGGCUAACUCCGUGCCAGCAGCCGCGGUAAUACGGAGGAUGCAAGCGUUAUCCGGAAUUAUUGGGCGUAAAGCGUCCGCAGGUGGUCUUUCAAGUCUGCUGUCAAAGACCAGGGCUUAACUCUGGGCAGGCGGUGGAAACUGGGAGACUAGAGUUCGGUAGGGGUAGCGGGAAUUCCCAGUGUAGCGGUGAAAUGCGUAGAUAUUGGGAAGAACAUCGGUGGCGAAGGCGUGCUACUGGACCGAAACUGACACUCAGGGACGAAAGCUAGGGUAGCGAAAGGGAUUAGAUACCCCUGUAGUCCUAGCUGUAAACGAUG